GACGGAGGAUGCAAGCGUUAUCCGGAAUUAUUGGGCGUAAAGCGUACGUAGGCGGCUUAUCAAGUCUGGGGUCAAAGACCACAGCUUAACUGUGGAAAGGCCUUGGAAACUGGUGAGCUGGAGCGAGGUAGGGUUUGCGGGAAAUCCCGGUGUAGCGGUGCAAUGCGUAGAUAUCGGGAAGAUCACCUGAGGCGAAAGCGCGCGACUGGGGCAUUACUGACACUGAGGGACGAAAGCUACGGGAGCGAAUGGG
rnacentral:rRNA from 1 species